rnacentral:rRNA from 1 species
GACGAACGCUGGCGGCGUGCUUAACACAUGCAAGUCGAACGGAAAGGCCCUGCUUUUGUGGGGUGCUCGAGUGGCAAACGGGUGAGUAACACGUGAGUAACCUGCCCUUGACUUUGGGAUAACUUCAGGAAACUGGGGCUAAUACCGGAUAGGAGCUCCUGCUGCAUGGUGGGGGUUGGAAAGUUUCGGCGGUUGGGGAUGGACUCGCGGCUUAUCAGCUUGUUGGUGGGGUAGUGGCUUACCAAGGUUUUGACGGGUAGCCGGCCUGAGAGGGUGACCGGCACAAUGGGACUGAGGUGCGGCCCAGACUCCUACGGGGGGCAGCAGUGGGGAAUAUUGCACAAUGGGCGGAAGCCUGAUGCAGCAACGCCGCGUGCGGGAUGACGGCCUUCGGGUUGUAAACCGCUUUCGCCUGUGACGAAGCGUGAGUGACGGUAAUGGGUAAAGAAGCACCGGCUAACUACGUA